rnacentral:rRNA from 1 species
GAUGAACGCUGGCGGCGUGCUUAACACAUGCAAGUCGAACGGUGAACGAGGGAGCUUGCUCCCUCCGGAUCAGUGGCGAACGGGUGAGUAACACGUGAGCAAUCUGCCCCGAACUCUGGGAUAAGCGCUGGAAACGGCGUCUAAUACCGGAUACGACGCGCGAAGGCAUCUUCUGCGCGUGGAAAGAAUUUCGGUUCGGGAUGAGCUCGCGGCCUAUCAGCUAGUUGGUGAGGUAACGGCUCACCAAGGCGACGACGGGUAGCCGGCCUGAGAGGGUGACCGGCAACACUGGGACUGAGACACGGCCCAGACUCCUACGGGAGGCAACAGUGGGGAAUAUUGCACAAUGGGCGCAAGCCUGAUGCAGCAACGCCGCGUGAGGGACGACGGCCUUCGGGUUGUAAACCUCUUUUAGUAGGGAAGAAGCGAAAGUGACGGUACCUGCAGAAAAAGCACCGGCUAACUACGUGCCAGCAGCCGCCGUAAGAC